GCCCAGACUCCUACGGGAGGCAGCAGUGGGGGAUAUUGCACAAUGGGGGGAACCCUGAUGCAGCGACGCCGCGUGGGUGAAGGAGUAUUUCGGUAUGUAAAGCUCUAUCGGCAGGGAAGAAGCAAGACGGUACCUGGCUAAGAAGCCCCGGCUAACUGCGUGCCAGCAGCCGCGGGAAUACGUAGGGGGCGAGCGUUAUCCGGAUUCACUGGGUGUAAAGGGAGCGUAGACGGCCAAGCAAGCCAGGGGUGAAAGCCCGGGGCCCAACCCCGGGACUGCCCUUGGAACUGCAUGGCUGGAGUGCGGGAGGGGCAGGCGGAAUUCCUGGUGUAGCGGUGAAAUGCGUAGAUAUCAGGAGGAACACCGGUGGCGAAGGCGGCCUGCUGGACUGCAACUGACGUUGAGGCCCGAAAGCGUGGGGAGCAAACAGGAUUAGAUACCCCAGUAGA
rnacentral:rRNA from 1 species